GAGGGUAUCGCUUAGUGGUAGAGCAUGUGCUUAGCAUGAAUGAGGUCCUGGGUUCAAUCCCCAGUACCUCCA
rnacentral:tRNA from 1 species